AAGCCAUGAUGUGGGCAUUGAGACCAAUAGCUUUUGAACCUCUCCCAUGCUUCACUAAAUCUCUCUAGGUGCUUCUGCUGAAAGCUAGAGAUCUCAUUCCUGAUCUU
rfam:Brassica napus, WGS project CCCW01000000 data, contig: 18252